UUUGAUGGCGACCGGCGCACGGGUGAGUAACACGUAUCCAACCUGCCGAUGACUCGGGGAUAGCCUUUCGAAAGAAAGAUAAUACCGAUGGCAUAGUUCUUCCGCAUGGUGGAACUAUUAAAGAAUUUCGGUCAUCGAUGGGGAUGCGUUCCAUUAGGUUGUUGGCGGGGUAACGGCCCACCAAGCCUUCGAUGGAUAGGGGUUCUGAGAGGAAGGUCCCCCACCAUUGGAACUGAGACACGGUCCAAACUCCUACGGGAGGCAGCAUG
rnacentral:rRNA from 1 species